CCUACGGGAGGCAGCAGUGGGGAAUAUUGGGCAAUGGGCGCAAGCCUGACCCAGCAACGCCGCGUGAAGGAAGAAGGCUUUCGGGUUGUAAACUUCUUUUCUCAGGGACGAAGCAAGUGACGGUACCUGACGAAUAAGCCACGGCUAACUACGUGCCAGCAGCCGCGGUAAUACGUAGGUGGCAAGCGUUAUCCGGAUUUAUUGGGUGUAAAGGGCGUGUAGGCGGGAAUGCAAGUCAGAUGUGAAAACUAUGGGCUCAACCCAUGGCCUGCAUUUGAAACUGUAUUUCUUGAGUACUGGAGAGGCAGACGGAAUUCCGAGUGUAGCGGUGAAAUGCGUAGAUAUAAGGAGGAACACCAGUGGCGAAGGCGGACUGCUGGACAGCAACUGACGCUGAGGCGCGAAAGCGUGGGGAGCAAACAGGAUUAGAUACCCCUGUAGUC
rnacentral:rRNA from 1 species